rnacentral:rRNA from 1 species
AGCGUACACGGUGGAUGCCCUGGCAGUCAGAGGCGAUGAAGGACGUGCUAAUCUGCGAUAAGCGUCGGUAAGGUGAUAUGAACCGUUAUAACCGGCGAUUUCCGAAUGGGGAAACCCAGUGUGAUUCGUCACACUAUCAUUAACUGAAUCCAUAGGUUAAUGAGGCGAACCGGGGGAACUGAAACAUCUAAGUACCCCGAGGAAAAGAAAUCAACCGAGAUUCCCCCAGUAGCGGCGAGCGAACGGGGAGCAGCCCAGAGCCUGAAUCAGUGUGUGUGUUAGUGGAAGCGUCUGGAAAGGCGCGCGAUACAGGGUGACAGCCCCGUACACAAAAAUGCACAUACUGUGAGCUCGAUGAGUAGGGCGGGACACGUGGUAUCCUGUCUGAAUAUGGGGGGACCAUCCUCCAAGGCUAAAUACUCCUGACUGACCGAUAGUGAACCAGUACCGUGAGGGAAAGGCGAAAAGAACCCCGGCGAGGGGAGUGAAAAAGAACCUGAAACCGUGUACGUACAAGCAGUGGGAGCACGCUUAGGCGUGUGACUGCGUACCUUUUGUAUAAUGGGUCAGCGACUUAUAUUCUGUAGCAAGGUUAACCGAAUAGGGGAGCCGAAGGGAAACCGAGUCUUAACUGGGCGUUAAGUUGCAGGGUAUAGACCCGAAACCCGGUGAUCUAGCCAUGGGCAGGUUGAAGGUUGGGUAACACUAACUGGAGGACCGAACCGACUAAUGUUGAAAAAUUAGCGGAUGACUUGUGGCUGGGGGUGAAAGGCCAAUCAAACCGGGAGAUAGCUGGUUCUCCCCGAAAGCUAUUUAGGUAGCGCCUCGUGAAUUCAUCUCCGGGGGUAGAGCACUGUUUCGGCAAGGGGGUCAUCCCGACUUACCAACCCGAUGCAAACUGCGAAUACCGGAGAAUGUUAUCACGGGAGACACACGGCGGGUGCUAACGUCCGUCGUGAAGAGGGAAACAACCCAGACCGCCAGCUAAGGUCCCAAAGUCAUGGUUAAGUGGGAAACGAUGUGGGAAGGCCCAGACAGCCAGGAUGUUGGCUUAGAAGCAGCCAUCAUUUAAAGAAAGCGUAAUAGCUCACUGGUCGAGUCGGCCUGCGCGGAAGAUGUAACGGGGCUAAACCAUGCACCGAAGCUGCGGCAGCGACGCUUAUGCGUUGUUGGGUAGGGGAGCGUUCUGUAAGCCUGUGAAGGUGUACUGUGAGGUAUGCUGGAGGUAUCAGAAGUGCGAAUGCUGACAUAAGUAACGAUAAAGCGGGUGAAAAGCCCGCUCGCCGGAAGACCAAGGGUUCCUGUCCAACGUUAAUCGGGGCAGGGUGAGUCGACCCCUAAGGCGAGGCCGAAAGGCGUAGUCGAUGGGAAACAGGUUAAUAUUCCUGUACUUGGUGUUACUGCGAAGGGGGGACGGAGAAGGCUAUGUUGGCCGGGCGACGGUUGUCCCGGUUUAAGCGUGUAGGCUGGUUUUCCAGGCAAAUCCGGAAAAUCAAGGCUGAGGCGUGAUGACGAGGCACUACGGUGCUGAAGCAACAAAUGCCCUGCUUCCAGGAAAAGCCUCUAAGCAUCAGGUAACAUCAAAUCGUACCCCAAACCGACACAGGUGGUCAGGUAGAGAAUACCAAGGCGCUUGAGAGAACUCGGGUGAAGGAACUAGGCAAAAUGGUGCCGUAACUUCGGGAGAAGGCACGCUGAUAUGUAGGUGAAGUCCCUCGCGGAUGGAGCUGAAAUCAGUCGAAGAUACCAGCUGGCUGCAACUGUUUAUUAAAAACACAGCACUGUGCAAACACGAAAGUGGACGUAUACGGUGUGACGCCUGCCCGGUGCCGGAAGGUUAAUUGAUGGGGUUAGCGCAAGCGAAGCUCUUGAUCGAAGCCCCGGUAAACGGCGGCCGUAACUAUAACGGUCCUAAGGUAGCGAAAUUCCUUGUCGGGUAAGUUCCGACCUGCACGAAUGGCGUAAUGAUGGCCAGGCUGUCUCCACCCGAGACUCAGUGAAAUUGAACUCGCUGUGAAGAUGCAGUGUACCCGCGGCAAGACGGAAAGACCCCGUGAACCUUUACUAUAGCUUGACACUGAACAUUGAGCCUUGAUGUGUAGGAUAGGUGGGAGGCUUUGAAGUGUGGACGCCAGUCUGCAUGGAGCCGACCUUGAAAUACCACCCUUUAAUGUUUGAUGUUCUAACGUUGACCCGUAAUCCGGGUUGCGGACAGUGUCUGGUGGGUAGUUUGACUGGGGCGGUCUCCUCCUAAAGAGUAACGGAGGAGCACGAAGGUUGGCUAAUCCUGGUCGGACAUCAGGAGGUUAGUGCAAUGGCAUAAGCCAGCUUGACUGCGAGCGUGACGGCGCGAGCAGGUGCGAAAGCAGGUCAUAGUGAUCCGGUGGUUCUGAAUGGAAGGGCCAUCGCUCAACGGAUAAAAGGUACUCCGGGGAUAACAGGCUGAUACCGCCCAAGAGUUCAUAUCGACGGCGGUGUUUGGCACCUCGAUGUCGGCUCAUCACAUCCUGGGGCUGAAGUAGGUCCCAAGGGUAUGGCUGUUCGCCAUUUAAAGUGGUACGCGAGCUGGGUUUAGAACGUCGUGAGACAGUUCGGUCCCUAUCUGCCGUGGGCGCUGGAGAACUGAGGGGGGCUGCUCCUAGUACGAGAGGACCGGAGUGGACGCAUCACUGGUGUUCGGGUUGUCAUGCCAAUGGCACUGCCCGGUAGCUAAAUGCGGAAGAGAUAAGUGCUGAAAGCAUCUAAGCACGAAACUUGCCCCGAGAUGAGUUCUCCCUGACUCCUUGA